UAUAGCAGCCAUAUCACCCUGCAUCUCACAACUGGCAGCCCACUGAAGCUCAGCAGGUGUGAGCCUGGUCAGUACCUGGAUGGGAGACCUCCUGGGAAAAACUAAGGUUGCUGCUGUAA
rnacentral:rRNA from 1 species